GGUCCUGUGAUCUAGCCUGGAUUUAUCUGUUUCACUACUUUCCGAAAUGGAUGCCUAUGGGUGCCCGCUUGCGAAGCGGGAGUUCGAGGGUUCGAAUCCCUCCAGGGCCA
rnacentral:tRNA from 1 species